CCACUCUCAGCCCUCUGCUAUUCACCUUCUCCUCCCUCCUUCCCAAGUCACUGCCUUCCCUUUAUUGAUUGAGACACUUGCCUGGCAACUCCUCCUCUGGAAACACAGGACCUCAUAGGAUGUUUGUGGAAUUAAAAGGGUUUCUCCAUUCCUCCCUCCACAAUGGCAAAGUCACUCCGGACAUUAAAAGGGAGCUCUUGGGUGAGGGCGCAAACCCAGUCUGGAAAUUUCACUAAGCGCGCUGCUUUGUCGGAAGGCACCAUCUAAACAGACCCGAUCAGUGGCUCCAGGGAGACACCUCAGAGCUGAAACAGCGGAUUCCAGUUCCCUCCCUCCAUUGAGAAGCAUUUUUGAACCCAGACAUGCUACUGGAUCAGCUCUGAAGGGGAAAGCUUGCGGAGUCCCCUGAGAAGAAGACGUAUUUAGAGCUUCUGUCUAUCUCCGGUGAUGCUUCUGUAAGGUGGUGUACGACAAUGGUGAACGGCGGGGAGAUCAGCAGACUGAGUUGGCCAGUUCCCCUUCUGGGUACACAGCGGCACGGCAUUCUCCCACCCUUCCGAAUACAGAUGGAGCCACGCGAAAGGAUGAGCGUCACUUCUGGUCAGCGCUGGGGGGACGUGAGGGAGGGCAGCAUGUGUCGGCCCGGAUCUUUGAGUGAUUUGGAUAACCACACUUGCCUGGAGACUCAACGUGGGCUAUGGAGCCUGAGAGGCGAAGUCACAGAGAUUUGGGGCCGUUUGUUGCUGUGGCAUUCCCUAACCUCCUCUGACCGAUAAACACAUCAGCUUAAUAUCUAGUAUCUCGCUUUUACC